rnacentral:rRNA from 1 species
GGUAGAGGGACGACGUCAAGUCAUCAUGGCCCUUACGGCCAGGGCUACACACGUGCUACAAUGGGGCGUACAGAGAGCUGCGAUACCGCGAGGUGGAGCCAAUCUCUUAAAGCGUCUCUCAGUUCGGAUUGUUCUCUGCAACUCGAGAACAUGAAGCUGGAAUCACUAGUAAUCGCAGAUCAGCUAUGCUGCGGUGAAUACGUUCCCGGGUCUU